CCUACGGGAGGCAGCAGUGGGGAAUAUUGCACAAUGGGGGAAACCCUGAUGCAGCGACGCCGCGUGAGCGAUGAAGUAUUUCGGUAUGUAAAGCUCUAUCAGCAGGGAAGUAAAUGACGGUACCUGACUAAGAAGCCCCGGCUAACUACGUGCCAGCAGCCGCGGUAAUACGUAGGGAGCAAGCGUUAUCCGGAUUUACUGGGUGUAAAGGGAGCGUAGACGGCGGUGCAAGCCAGAUGUGAAAGCCCGGGGCUCAACCCCGGGACUGCAUUUGGAACUGUGCUGCUAGAGUGUCGGAGAGGCAGGCGGAAUGCCUGGUGUAGCGGUGAAAUGCGUAGAUAUUAGGCGGAACACCAGUGGCGAAGGCGGCCUGCUGGACGAUGACUGACGUUGAGGCACGAAAGCGUGGGUAUCGAACAGGAUUAGAUACCCCAGUAGUC
rnacentral:rRNA from 1 species